UGGGAAUGUACUUCUGGGUAUGUUUAUCUUACUGAUUGUUGAAUAAAGUACUGUUUGGCCAAUGAGGCAGAAAGCUAGACAGGACUAGGAGCCAAAGAGGAUUCUGGGAAAUGUAGUAAAGACAUGAUGAUGCAGGCAGGAAAUGACAUAACAGGAAGACUCUAACAUAAACAGACGAAGAAAGAAGUGGAGCCGCUCUUCCUCCAGAUUCACCAUGUGAUCCACUGGCAAGAGAGGACGCCAAUGGAAGGUGUCUGAUAAGAUAAGUCUUAUAAAAUAUAUAGAUUUAUGAUAAUUAAGACUGAACUAACAGAUGAGAAUCCUAGUCAUUGGCCAAGCAGCAUUUGUACCUAAUAUAAGUCUCUGUGCAUUAAUUGGGGACCCUAACUCGGCGGGCCAAAUUCAGGCAGCUGGCAGAGACCACCUACAUGGUAUUAGGGCUCAGGACGGCUUUUGGGGGAAAGAUUGAUAGUAACAGAAUGUUAUCAGAAGUGGGAUAACCCCAUGCCCCAAGGUUCCCAGAGGAAGAGGAAAACAUGCUGCCACAGCCUGCCCUGUCGGGCCACUGAGAGGUAUUGGAACAGCUUCCAUAUAUAUGCACACGCCAUCCCAGCACUCUUGGGGGUUGGACUCAGCACUCCUGAGAUGAUAAAGACAGAUCCAUAUAAAGAAAAACUGCUAAAGGUUUACACUGCUUUUAAAAAUAUAUGUAGGCUUGUGAGAGAAAAAGUAAUAGGAGCAAAUAGAGUAACUGGGUGUGGUGGCACACACCUUUAAUCCCAGCACUCCAAAAAGAGAGGCAGGCAGAUUUCCACAGAGAAACCCUGUCUCAGGAAAAAAUAAAAAAAAGGGAAGUAAAAAUAGAAUAAUAGAAAAGCCACCUAAAAAUGAAAAAUACACAGAGAGUUUGGAUACUAUAUUCUAUAUCGUCUUUAAAUUGUUUGAUUGCCGAAGAAAGAGUCACUGCUGCUAAAAUACAUUUGAUUAUAAGUGCUGCAAAAUUAAUCCAACUUAUACAUUUUAAAAAUGCUUUGACAUCAAAGGUUAAGUCUAAGGACAGGGUACUUGGGAAAAAAGUUUUUGCUUGUGUUUUCACAGAAAAUGAAAAGCUAUGGAUUCCUUCCAGACUAAUAUGGUUUGAUCAAGCAAGACCCACUGAAGCAGUGACCCAACUGAUCCUACAUCCAAAACAGCUGAGAUGAUACAGGCUUGCAGACUACAAAAACAAGGACUUGGUCAGAUUUCUAUGUUUUAUCAUGAUCUCCAUGGAGGCAUUCAUGAGGAAUCACUUCAGUAUGGGGACACUGAUUUGGAGAAUUAAAUCAUUUUAUUUU
rnacentral:lncRNA from 1 species